AUACCUUUCUCGGCCUUCUGGCUAAGAUCAAGUGUAGUAUCUGUUCUUAUUAGUUUAAUAUCUGAUAUGUUGGCCAUCAGCUCACUCUUUAUUAAAUUAAAUAAAUUUUUUGAAAGGGAGGGCCCACUAUAGUAGCUUGCUACUGGGUCGGCCUCUCAUGUGUUGCCUUGGUGUUGCACUAUUGCCUUGACCUGGUGCACCCCAC